UACGUAGGUGGCAAGCGUUGUCCGGAAUUAUUGGGCGUAAAGCGCGCUCAGGCGGUCUCUUAAGUCUGAUGUGAAAGCCCACGGCGUCAACCGUACGGAGGGUCGAUUGGUAAACGUAGGGAGGACUUGUAGUACAGAAGAGGAGAGUGGAAUUACCACCGUGUAGCGGUGAAAUGCGUAGAUAUGUGGAGGAACACCAGUGGCGAAGGCGACUCUCUGGUCUGUAACUGACGCUGAGGCGCGAAAGCGUGGGGAGCAAACAGG
rnacentral:rRNA from 1 species